CCUCAUCCAUGGCUCGGAUCUCCAGGCGCAGCUUGUCCAUCACCGUGAUAAAGAGCUGGGAGCAAGUGUGUGUGCGUCUGAUGACCUCGACCGCCGGCUGAGACCCCCGACACCCUGGGCCUGCAUUGUCUUCACAACUGCAAACAGCUCUGCCAUGUUGUCGUACCUGAGGGGGCGCAGACUUCAGGCGCGGCUGCCCAGGCAGGAAGCCGAGGGCCCGAGCACACCUGCCAGCCCUGCCUGGGUGCCACUGAGGCAGAACUCCUGCUUCACUUCCUGUCAGGAGACCAGGAGGAGGAUCAGCCAGCAACACGAGGGAGGCUGCGGGGCCCCAGUGAGGACCAUGCAGAUGAGAAUCACAGCUGAUGUGACCAGGAGGGUGCCCACUACUCACCUCAUACAGC